UACGUAGGGUGCGAGCGUUGUCCGGAAUUAUUGGGCGUAAAGAGCUCGUAGGCGGCUUGUCGCGUCGGAUGUGAAAGCCCGGGGCUUAACUCCGGGUCUGCAUUCGAUACGGGCAGGCUAGAGUUCGGUAGGGGAGAUUGGAAUUCCUGGUGUAGCGGUGAAAUGCGCAGAUAUCAGGAGGAACACCGGUGGCGAAGGCGGAUCUCUGGGCCGAUACUGACGCUGAGGAGCGAAAGCGUGGGGAGCGAACAGG
rnacentral:rRNA from 1 species